GAUGAACGCUGGCGGCGUGCUUAACACAUGCAAGUCGAACGGAAAGGCCACAGCUUGCUGUGGUACUCGAGUGGCGAACGGGUGAGUAACACGUGGGUGAUCUGCCCUGUACUUCGGGAUAAGCUUGGGAAACUGGGUCUAAUACCGGAUAGGAAUCACAUGUGGGUGUGUGGUUGGAAAGCUUUUGCGGUAUGGGAUGAGCUCGCGGCCUAUCAGCUUGUUGGUGGGGUAAUGGCCUACCAAGGCGUCGACGGGUAGCCGGCCUGAGAGGGUGUACGGCCACAUUGGGACUGAGAUACGGCCCAGACUCCUACGGGAGGCAGCAGUGGGGAAUAUUGCACAAUGGGCGCAAGCCUGAUGCAGCGACGCCGCGUGGUGGAUGACGGCCUUCGGGUUGUAAACUCCUUUCGUCAGGGACGAAGCGAAAGUGACGGUACCUGGAUAAGAAGCACCGGCUAACUACGUG
rnacentral:rRNA from 1 species